CAGAAGAGGUGGCUGUGGUUAACCUGGGGCCUUCCAGUGAAACAACUGCCAACACGUUGCAGACUUCGCCAAAACACGCGAUCGACAUAUUGUCGUCUUCGCUUUGAAACAUACCCGAAGUAUGCGGGAUCAUCAUUGUUCCACGCACCCCGGACUCAGAAGCCAACAUUUCUUCCGAAAACGGGAACAAAAUCAACCACUUCUCUGCACCGCCACUCGCACUGCGCAUGCGCCACCUCGCGCGUCCUGGUGAUUGACGACAGCGCAAGACCAAUAGACAAGAGGGGGCGGUGCUGGAGGACCAAGCGGGAACAGCUGGACCUCCAAACAAUCAGAGGCGACCAGAACUGGACACUCCAGAAGAGGCCCAACCAAUGCCCUGCGCAACCUCAAUAUGACGUCCUAACUCCUACACUCAAUGGUCUGAGCAAUGAAGUUCCAACUGGAUGCUCCCUCAGUACUGAUCCUCCAACAGUGCCUACUCCCUCAGCACUGACGCUCUGAAAGUGCGGCGCUCCCUCAGCACUGACUCUCCAACAUUAGGAAGGAUAUUAUUAAAUUGGAGAAGCUGCAAAAGAACUCACAAGGAGAUUUCCAGGAAUGGAGGGCCCAAGCCACAAGGAGAGGCUGGACGCGCAAGGACCACCACCCCCACCCCAUCCCUGGAGCAUUGGAGUCUGUUACAACACAGGGUAGAUCCUUCUGCUACUUGAACCAAACACACAGAAAAGCUCAUCUUCCCUCGUCAUCUGUUAAAGUAUGAGUCACAGAGAACUACCCAAAUUCCAGUAUUUAAAGGAAAAAUAGCAAUUUUAUUCUUAAACUCCAAAAGAGAACAUUAAACUACAACCAAUUAGAAUUGUUAGCAUCCUUUUUUUUUCUAAAUUUGUUAUCUACCUCUCACUUUAUAACAAUAUACUGAUCCAAUAAAGCCCCUAAUAAAUUUACAGCUAAUCAAUUUUCAAAACCAGCUAGCUGUGUCAAUCCAGUCCUGUAGAUCACCCUGGGUCGUAUUCGGUCUUCUGCUGCAAAGGUGUUUCAUAUGAAAGGGUACUGUUCAGAGAGAAUGAUUGCAGCAGUCUGAAUAGCAGUAGGUGCUCUUUGUCUCUUUGGCUAAUUGUCCAAAAUGCCUUAUUUUUAUACCCCAAAACAUCAGAUCGUCUCAUUGAUUUAAUGUUAUCAAAACAGUAAAAUUCAAAUUCGAUUGGAUUUUAGUAUCUUGGGGCAUAAUUUAAACUGAUUGGUUGAAUUCAAAUUGUUGUGAAAACAUAGCAACCAAACUCAACUAUCUGUUUCCCAGCUAAAUGUUACAUUUUAAAAUUUUCCAGUGCAGUCUAUCUCAACAGGUGUUUGCCAGCUUUCACACUCUCUUAAAGGUACAGUACACGCCUUCAACUUCAUAACACGUCCCCCCUUAAGAAAAAAAAUGACCCAUCAUAAUGGAAAGAUGGCUUUUUCCUUCUUAACCACAUUACCAUGGUAUACAUAGGACACUAAUCUAAGUUUAUACUAACAUCGGCACACACACACAUUUAUAUAACAUUGGUAUUUAUUCAAUCUCAUCUUUUUUUUUGUUAAAGCCAAGGUAAUGCAUCUGCUAUCACAUUCUUACGAGCCACAACAUGUACAAUUUGUAAAUUAAAAGUCUGGAACAUAA